CCAAAUAAUGCGAAAUUACAAAAACGCCAUCAAAGAGACAAAAUUCCACUUCUUUUCUUCCCUUACUCUCCACGUAUAAACCAGGAAGGAGUUCCUUCCUUCCUUCCCUAAAAUCAGUCCAAAUACACUCCUUGGACCCCAAGCUAUGCAUCUUCACCUUCACUCUUCUUAGUUUUAAAAUCAGACAACAAAUUUCCACUUGUUUCCCAACCAAAAUCAAUUCACAAAAAACUGAAAACCAUCCCCCCCUUGUUCCUCCAUCGUUCGAACCACCACCAACAACAACCACCUCAACCACUGACUACCAUCACCACUACCACCGUCCAACAACCACCUCAACCACCCUGACCACCGUCGGCCCCCAGCACCACCGCACACACACCCCACCGUAGCUCCCUUCCCCUUCUCCCUCCUCUCCUUGCGCCUCCCCUGCCUCUUCCUCUUUCCUCUUCGCUGCACCGCCCACGACAACCACCACCACCUCCAGCCACCCUCAUCAUCUCUCCAACCAACCUCCGCCCCUAAAACUCCGGCGAACCACCCUUCCCCUUCCCAAAAUCCCGAUCGAAAAACCCACCAAUCCCCUGUUUUGUCACCCAUUUCGUGCCCCUUUCUCUCUCUCUGUCGUCGUCCCUCCGCCGCCAACCACCAAUCCCCACCGUCACCAUCACCGUCGAAAUAUCCGGCGAACUCAACCCAGCCAGCUGCCACCCUCUCUCCUCCCUUCGUGCUCCCUUGUGCCUUGCUCCCCUCCCCUGUUCGUGCCCCUCUUUUCAAAAAAAAAGAAAAAAAGAAAAGAGAAUCAGUUUCACUUAAACGUGAUUUUUAUUCACCUCAAACCCCUCCAUGAGUUGGGCUAUUUCAAUUUGGGCCUUUGGUGAGAAUUUGGACUCGGAGCUCAGGACGAACGAACCAAGGAAAAUCCUUAGCAAAAUCGUGGAAGUGAGGUACUGAUGGGGACGAUGGACACGAGUAGUGGCGAGGAUUUCACUUUAAUAAUUCCCACCUAGUUUAUGUUUCAAGUUUUAAUAGUUAAUUAAAGAUUUUUAGUAAGUUAUGUACUUUUACUUUGGGUAUUAUAAAGGAUUAUUAUAUAUUUUUGGAGUAA